GCAUUCCCAAAGGUGAAGUAGGUGUUUAUUAGAGCAGUAUAUACAGCAAUACUCUUCUGCUGAUCAGGUAAGAUGCUAAAUAACUUUUCAGCAGAAGCAGGCGCUCUAGCGCAGCCAAGCCGAUGAAUCAGAAGAGCAGUUAAUUCUGACCCUAAUGACAGGCCUGCCCCAACCAUUACUUCAACAAUGUCCACAACCCUUGAAAAGGAAUUUGCUCUAAUAAGUUCUCCAACCAUGGUGAGGUACGUAAUUCUGUCAAUGGUUAUGCCCAAUUUCAUACUGACUUUGAAGGCCAAAAAGGCG
rnacentral:misc_RNA from 1 species